rnacentral:lncRNA from 1 species
UUAUCCACCACAGGCCUAAAUCGUUAGUCCGCAAACAACGAGGGUGAUAAAAAAACCCAGCACUUUGAACACAGCCACCGGCAUGCUAUGAAUUUGAAAGCUUCCCAAAUUAGUAACUAUCAAGUUCUAUUAACCAUAGAAAACUGUUGUCCUUCUUUAUCUAAAAAUGAAAUUUUAAUCAAUUUAUUCAUAUAUUUGACCGAC